CUACGGGAUGCAGCAGUGGGGAAUUUUGGACAAUGGGCGCAAGCCUGAUCCAGCAAUGCCGCGUGCAGGAUGAAGGCCUUCGGGUUGUAAACUGCUUUUGUACGGAGCGAAAAGGCUCUCUCUAAUACAGGGGGCUCAUGACGGUGCCGUAAGAAUAAGCACCGGCUAACUACGUGCCAGCAGCCGCGGUAAUAUCGUAGGGUGCGAGCGUUAAUCGGAAUUACUGGGCGUAAAGCGUGCGCAGGCGGUUAUGUAAGACAGAUGUGAAAUCCCCGGGCUCAACCUGGGACCUGCAUUUGUGACUGCAUGGCUGGAGUACGGCAGAGGGGGAUGGAAUUCCGCGUGUAGCAGUGAAAUGCGUAGAUAUGCGGAGGAACACCGAUGGCGAAGGCAAUCCCCUGGGCCUGUACUGACGCUCAUGCACGAAAGCGUGGGGAGCAAACAGGAUUAGAUACCCCCGUAGUC
rnacentral:rRNA from 1 species